rnacentral:rRNA from 1 species
UCGCCUACGGGGGGCAGCAGUGGGGAAUAUUGCGCAAUGGGGGCAACCCUGACGCAGCAACGCCGCGUGCGGGAUGAAGGCUUUCGGGUUGUAAACCGCUUUCAGCAGGGAUGACAUCGACAGUACCUGCAGAAGAAGCCCCGGCUAACUACGUGCCAGCAGCCGCGGUAAUACGUAGGGGGCAAGCGUUAUCCGGAUUCAUUGGGCGUAAAGCGCGCGCAGGCGGGUUGCUAAGCGGGACCUCUAAUCUCAGGGCUCAACCUUGAGCCGGGUCCCGAACUGGCAGCCUCGGGUUCGGUAGGGGG